GAUGAACGCUGGCGGCGUGCCUAAUACAUGCAAGUCGAGCGAACAGACGAGGAGCUUGCUCCUCUGACGUUAGCGGCGGACGGGUGAGUAACACGUGGAUAACCUACCUAUAAGACUGGGAUAACUUCGGGAAACCGGAGCUAAUACCGGAUAAUAUAUUGAACCGCAUGGUUCAAUAGUGAAAGACGGUUUUGCUGUCACUUAUAGAUGGAUCCGCGCCGCAUUAGCUAGUUGGUAAGGUAACGGCUUACCAAGGCAACGAUGCGUAGCCGACCUGAGAGGGUGAUCGGCCACAAUGGAACUGAGACACGGGCCAGACUCCUACGGGAGGCAGCAGUAGGGAAUCUUCCGCAAUGGGCGAAAGCCUGACGGAGCAACGCCGCGUGAGUGAUGAAGGUCUUCGGAUCGUAAAACUCUGUUAUUAGGGAAGAACAAAUGUGUAAGUAACUAUGCACGUCUUGACGGUACCUAAUCAGAAAGCCACGGCUAACUACGU
rnacentral:rRNA from 1 species